rnacentral:ncRNA from 2 species
AACGUCCUUCGGGGUUAGGUGUAAUUCCUUACCGGCGGUAAAGCCCGCGAGCCGUUAUGGCAGACCCGGUGAAAUUCCGGGGCCGACAGUAAAAGUCUGGAAGGGAGAAGGAGGUU